rnacentral:lncRNA from 1 species
CCUUUAUUGUGACUGCACUUUCUAUACCAUUCUGUGCUUUGUUUAUCUGUCUGCAUGUCACUUAACAGGCCAACUUCCAUAACAACAAGGGCAAUGUAUCAUGAGGGAUUAGUGCAGAGCUUACCUGCAGCAUGUAUAAAAGAGAUUUGUGCUGAAUUUAUUCACAUUACCAAUAAUGUUCAUAUAACACACUUUAACUAGAUUUUGACCCCUGCAAAAAUAACCCAAAAAUGAAGUCCUCUUUUCCUGUGGCUGAGGCUUGAAACCGAAUCAGAAGCAUAUUGCUCUGGCUUCUCUUCAGUGAAAUUAAAAGAAAAAGGUUCAGUGUAUGAUGGAUGUUUUCAGAGAAAGUACUUGCAUUUUUUAUAAUAUAAUGCCAACUGUAUCACAAUCUCUAUAAAGGUGCAGACCAUGUCCAGCCUAUUUGCCAAUGACACCAUAUUACUACUGCAUGAAAUAACAGAUUCAAGGAAACAAGAAGUAGAUUCAUUCAUUCAUCCAAAACAUACCAAAUGCCUGCAUGUACCAAAUAUUUUUCUAGCCACUGAUGACACAGAGGGGAUUAAGUUCCAGUUCUCUUUGCAACUUAUAUUUCAAGAGGGAAAAAAAAAAAAACAAAGAAGGGAAGGGGCUAGAGACUGAUAGGUGAAAUAGGCUUUGUUUUGUUUUUUGACAGGAUAAAUAAAUUGCCCAUUUAUUGAUCA